rnacentral:lncRNA from 1 species
AGAGGUUGUGGUGAGCUGAGAUCGUGCCAUUGCACUCCAGCUUGGGCCAUUCCAACUCCAUCUCAAAAUAAUAAUAAUAAUAAAAAAACAUUAAUUAUGUUCCAGUAAUUUAUCUCUAAUUGCAAUAACUUUAAGUUUCACCUUUUUUACUUGCCUCAUAAAAUGAGAUAUACCAACCAUUGAGAAGCCUUGAAUAUAUAUUCAUGUGUAUUAUGCUGUAAAGAAAACCAUUUGAUACUGUACCUAACAGACAGUCAUUCUAGCAACAGCUAAGUAGGGAAUCCUUGAAUAGAGUCCUAGAAUAUUCAUUUACUUGUUUAUUUCUAUAAUUUGACUGUCCAUUUGUGCAACAAAUAGUUAUUGAACAUUCACUCUGUGCCAGAGCCUGGGGAUACAGGAGGGGAUAUUCUAAACAAAGUCAAUCCUUUCUUAUGGCUUCCCUAGUUUCUAUAGAUUCUAGUAUUAAAGGCUGGACAAAUAAAUAGAUUUAUCAAAGGCAAGGUAGGUAAGUGCUCUGGAGGCAAUGGAAAAUAGAUUAAGAGCAUUAAGUGGGAUAAGAAGAGACAGAGGUGGGAGAAAAGCAUUGCGGUAGGGUGACAUUUCAGCAGAGACUUCAAGGUUGCUAGGGGAAGUCACAUGCUGUUAUGUGAGAAAGCACUCCAGGUACAGAGAGCAGAGGCCAAAGUCCUCCAGCCUGACAUUGGUUGGGGAUUCCUGGGACAGCGGGGAAGCCGGAUUAUCUUAAGCAAGUGAAAGAGGAAGAUGGAGGUGGGAAACCAUGUCAGACAGGAGGUUAGGUGAUGGGCAACUUUGAAGGCCAUUGUAAGGACUUGGCUUUCAUUCUGAGUAAGAUUAAGGAUCCAUUGGAGAGUUUUGAGCAAAGAUUAUGUGAAUUAGAAUACAGAAGUACUUAGAUUUUUACUUUUAAUAUACUUAUUAAGAGAAAUGGGAAAACAAAUUCCUGGGCUCCAUGAAAUACUCGUCCACUCUAUCAGUCAAUGGUAGAUUCUGUCUUGCAGUUCUCCAGGCCCUCUGAACAGCUAUCUAAUGUCCUAAAGUAUUCAUAGAAACAAUAAAAGAUAAGAGAGUAAGAGAAAAGAAGAAAAUAAUUUUAAAAAUUUAAAAAUGUGUUAUUAUUGUUAUUAUUGCCUUAGGACAGGUAAAAGAGGUAAGAGAUCAAGGAGAUAACUCUUGGACAAGUAGAUCUCAUUACAACUUUUAGUACAGUCACAGAUGCUUUACAUGAUCAACUGAAGCAGACUUAGUGUUGCUUUUAAGGAGGACAGCAGGCACAGUCUUAUCAAGUUCUGAAUUUCCUCACUUGGUCAAGCAGUUGCUGUGUGACUUUGAAAGAGUUAUUAAUACAUUAGUAAUCUGUGUUUGUUUCCUCAUCUGUGAAAUUCAGUAAAUCCAUCUUACAUGCUGGUUGUGAGGGGUAGUGACCUGGCAAAUAGUAAUCACAGGCAAGUGUUUGUUGUCAUUGAUAACAAGAUUGGAUUUCUAAGAAGAUGGUGUUGAUUGCAAGAUGGUGUUUAUCAAGAUAUCUUGAUAAGAUAGUUUUUAUUGUGAGAUGCAUUAUUAAGUUGAGCUUUGCUUUAAGCAUAAGAGACUGCAUUAAGUGCACUAAUUGACUUUUAAAUCUAUUUAAUUUUCAGAAAUGUCAAAUAUGAAUAAAAAUAUGAAAUGAAUGGAGGGUUUAUGAUCAGGGAUAUUCUAUGUUACACAUUUACUGCUUUAUCAUUUAAAAUAAGCCCCCAAAUUGAAAGUGAGUCAACAUUUGACAUAUCAGUAUUUUCCAAGGAAUAAUUUGUGUAGCCAGUUUUCAAAACUAGAGGCUAUAAACUACUCUGAUUUUUAAAUGAUAUUGAUAAACAAGGAGACAUUUCAUUUUUUAAAUGACUAAUGUGAUUAUCAAAAUAAAAGAAUAAAAAAUAUAAGACUUGAUUUGACUAAUGGGUAAAACAUGAAUGCCACUAGGUAAGACUAUUUCUAUCAUGACAUUACCUUAAAUUAGAAAUCACUAAUUAUGUAUGCAUGUGCCAAAAUAUAACUACUCUAGCAAGUGAUGAAUUUGCAUAUACAAUGAUUUUAAUCAAGGCACUUCUUUGAUUGUACAAUUAUCUGUUUUGCAUACACAAAAUCUGAAUUCUGUACAUGUGAGUCCUCAUUUGUAUAUGCACCAAAUUAUUUUGUUGGUGCAACUUAGAAAUCUCUACUUGAUAUAUUAGGGCAUUAUUUCUCUUCCAUUUAUAGUAAUAUGUUUUCAGUUUUUAUUAAGUAGUAAAACCAAACUCCCUGGAAAAACAUGGGAGGUGGGCCCUGCCUCUAGUCAUAAUAGAGGGAAAUGCCACUGUAUUUCUAUUCUGUGUUAAGAAAAAGCAAAAAGUUUCUUCUACACACCGUUUGUUCCUUUCUGCCUUCUUAUUUGGAAUGUAUCUCAAAAUUUAAAGAAGACUUUGGUUCACAGAGAGAACCCUUGAGUGGUAAUCAUAUUGAGUUCACUCAAUUUUCCACAUUGUUAGUCUGUAAAUGAUGAGAGUAGGGUGUUGAUCCUUACUACUCUUAAGCAACAGAGAAAAUUUAGAGGUGGUGGAAAGUACCAAAUUUAUAGUCCUAGAGACAAAUAUUCUCUGUAGAGUUCCUGAAAAAAGAAAUAGCCGGAAAAGCAGUGAGGCAAAACUCGUUAUUUCAUUAUGGUCUUGCUGGACAACUGAGACUCCCCUUGGCCCUCAGCGAGAGCAGUGUGCUACAUACAGUAAUCUGGGCACAUUGAUGACCGCAGUGUAAAGCUCUUAGUAAGUGGGAUGUUUGUUUUGUAGUUAAGUCAUCCUGACAGGCCCAUUGGGUCAUAAACCUGCUUACAAUGCAAAGUUAUUCACAACCUCAAAAUGAGACUUCUGUACAUUACAGAUAGGUCAUUGGUAACAGCAGAAGUCUUAGCUUUUUAAUCAUUCAAAUCAAGAUCUUUUCUGCAUAUUUGGGUUUGGUCUUGAGGAUUCAACUGAGAUAAAAUUGUCUCAUAUCAGUAGAUACAAAAUUACCACGGUCCUUCUGUUGUCUACCUGCCUGCAGAUGUGUCCUUGCAAGAAUGGGAUCCUAUGUUAGGUCAAGAGUAGAAUUCUAGCUUGUAAAUUUUCAGUUUUGCUACCUUUGCUGUGACUCUAGGGUAAUUUGAUAAUCAGGCUAUAAAGAGAUCCUUUCAAAGUCUCUGAAUUUUCGAACUUUGAACCUUGCUUUUACGUAACACUGAAUUUUCUAUAAUGCAUUUCUUCUUGGCUACAUAGAUGACCCACUGUUAUUGGAAUAAGCCCAGGUCAAAUUUGUCUAUGAUGUCUCUUCAACAAUAUUUUGUAGUCUGUUUUCUUCCAGUCUUCACUUUCAAUCUCCUCAGGGAGGGAAUAUAUAGUAAUGAAACUAUAUUACAGUAAUUAGAGUCAGCCACAUUGAGACAGCCAAGCAAAAAGGGCUUCCUGGAGAACCUCUGACCAACCUGCACACUGGGAGAAUGGGGUGGAGCCAUGGAAAUUCCUGUCAUUUGCAGAGGGGAGGAGCCUGGUCUCUUAAGUUCCUGUGUGAUGGGGCGGGAGCUGGUUAAUCGGCUUCCCUCUUGCUCAGCUGAAAGUUUUUCUCUUUUUCCUUUUUUACCCAAUAAAUUGUUAUUCUCACCCUUCUAUGUGUCCACGAACCUAAUCUUUCCUGGCCAUGUGACAAGAACCUGGUUUUAGCUGAACUGAGAAGAAAGCCCUGCAACAACAUCUGGUGUGAUAGACUGAACCAUGCCUCCAGGUAUAUUUCAAUGUUUCACUUUCAUCAUAAGAGAACUCUCCCAGUCAACAUGUUCUUAACAGUCUCUGGGGAGCUACUCUGCCACAUGAAUCCCAUUCAGCAUCUGUAUCUGGCCCUAGCAGUUCCCCGAGAAGACAGAUACUUGAGAAGAGGGGAGUCUGGCACAAGGAUGAGAAAAGCCAAAGAAGCAUCACAAGUUCAUGACCACUUGGAAUAAGACAACCAUCCUUAGUCUCAAUGCCAUAAGAUUAAGUUCUGGCAAAAGGACACAUGUAGACGUUGGUACUUUGAAUGUAAAACUUCCCAGUUUUACAGCAUGUUUAUCUCAGUAGCAGACAUAAUGCCUAGGGGCAAAGCUGUGCUCAGGGAUGUUUGAGUGAAUGCAACAAUCAAGCCCUUCAUCCAAUCAUUUUUCAAGCCCAACAAUUCUACCUCUGUUGUCUUCAUGAAAAUGAAGAAAGACCAUCCAGAUGUGAAUAC